rnacentral:rRNA from 1 species
UACGAAGGGUGCUAGCGUUGCUCGGAAUGACUGGGCGUAAAGGGCGCGUAGGCGGACUGCACAGUCAGGCGUGAAAUUCUUGGGCUUAACCUGGGGACUGCGUCUGAGACGUGUGAUCCAGAGUGAGGAAGAGGGUCGUGGAAUUUCCAGUGUAGAGGUGAAAUUCGUAGAUAUUGGAAAGAACACCGGUGGCGAAGGCGGCGACCUGGUUCAUUACUGACGCUGAGGCGCGAAAGCGUGGGGAGCAAACAGG